rnacentral:sRNA from 1 species
AAAUUAUAAGAAGGGACCCAACACAGAAAAUUCAUUUUAUUGAAUUUUACAUUUAUGUGCAAGU